AAAAAAAAGGAGCUGAGAAGCAAAAAAGGAAUACAAUAUCAAUUUUUAUGUAAAAUUUCUCUUUAGGUGACAUCUGUCACCUUCCCAGAUUUAGGACAGUCCCAGUUUAUGUUCGUUGUCCUGUAUCCUGUCCACAUGAAGCAUCUAACUAGAAUUUCCCUUUCAUUUUAAUCAACAAGUUGCAUUAACAUGUAUUACCUAUUAUUAAACUGUGUACCAACUGUACAUUUAAGCUUAUUAACAGUUGCAUUAAAACAAUCCAGGGUGAAUUUGUUGUAUCUCCACUUUCACCUGUUAGUGUGUGAGACAUCCAUGCAGUGAAAAGAUAGAAUAAUAUGUGGCUAAAUCAGAAGAUAAUCAGGAAUAAACCCAUCUCUCCUUUCCUGACCUUUUCCAGACACAAUGUAACUAAAACUUUCCUUUCAGGGGCAGGAAGCAGAACACUCACAUUCACUGAUAAAACAAAUUAAGCUUGGACAAGAGAAGCUGCAGACAGAAAACUCCUUCAGGACUCAGAUGGUGGUGGAGAAAGAUUGGAAGCAGCUGCCUCGGCCAACCACCUGGAAAGUCAGCCAGUUGUGCUCCUAUCUGCAAGAUGUGCAAAAUGCUGCCAGGCAGCCGUGUGGUCAAGUCAGUGGGAAAUUGGAAAAUUACAAGCAUAGUGCACAUGAAAUAUGUACAGAAAACAGAAGUUGGAUAGGCCUGCCUCAGAGCAAUGGAGAGUACCUCGGAUGCUCUUGCUACAAUUAUCUUGUACAAAUGCAAAGAGUGAAAUGAGAGCUGUGUAUAUUGCCUGCACUAGCAGAAGAAGAACUUCAAAAAGGAUGGAAUUGAGAAGUCCUAUAAUUUUGAUGUAUCUAAGUAUUGGAAAACAUUUAAAGAAUCAUAAACGAACACAACUUGGUAAGUCUUGUCUUAUAAAUGUUAAUAAAUUUGUCAAAGUAUUUGUUAAAGAAAGUAUUUUGAAAGGAGGUAAAGACAUAGAACCUGUGACAAUCGUGGACUGAAUUAUUCACAUAUGUUAACAUUUACAUGUCAAUACCAAGACAAAAAAGAAUUUACGAUAUCCUCCACUUAGAAUUUACUCUACAAUUAUAGUUCAACACUUGAGAGUGUCUUCUUAAUUAAAAAAUUAUGAUCUACACAGAAGAGUCAACUGCUGAUGUCAACAAUUUCAAAUUUAAUAGUCAAAAAAUGAAACCAUAACUCUAAAGAUUACAAGCAAUAUUAUAGAAAAAAUUAAGAAUACGACCACAUUGAACGAAGAUGUAUUCUUCAGAAAAGUACCACUAAUUCUGGCAUUAGAGAUAGAUAUAGAAUUAACAUUAAAAUACGUGAAUAUAUUCCAGUACUAUUUUGCACAUGCACUUUUUAAUAUUCACAUAAGUGAUA
rnacentral:lncRNA from 10 species